UGAUGAUGAUGAUGAUGAUGAUGAUGAUGACGACGAUGAUGAAGAUGGUGAAAAUUAUCUCCCCCCUCCUCCUCCUCCUCAUCAUCAUCAUUAUCAUCAUCAUCACCACCA
rnacentral:pre_miRNA from 1 species